UCUGGCGGCAGUAGCGCGGUGGUCCCACCUGACCCCAUGCCGAACUCAGAAGUGAAACGCCGUAGCGCCGAUGGUAGUGUGGGGUCUCCCCAUGCGAGAGUAGGGAAAUGCCAGAC
rnacentral:rRNA from 1 species